CGAGGAUGGUUUCCACGCGCCGCUACUCGGACUGGUUUGGAAGCACGCGACACAGGGCUCUCCGCCGCGAAGGAGCAGGGUUUUGACGGGGAAACCUGUCCGACCUCGUCACGUCGGGCGGCAUUCCCCGCCGACUCGACUCACCUCGACGACUCCUCCGUCGCCGCCCCUCCGCACUCGCCUCGACUCUCCGCCGUGGCCCCUCCGCCUUCGCCUUGACUCUCAUCUUGCCAUCCCCGUCACCUCCCAGCCACCAUCCCCCUUCUGAACCAUCGUCGUCCUCGCCUCCACAUCGGCUUCGUCCCCACACACUGGAGAGAUGUGACCACUGCAGCUACUGAGAGGACGGCUCCAAGAUCCACUUCAGUUCUUCUCAGAUUUGUCUUCCCUCUGAACAAAAGCUCUUGGUGGAAGCAAUACAUGAUUUGAGGAGCCCUUGAGCUAUAUAAUCUCUCUACUUGGGUACUGAACAUGCGGUGGCAAUGCCUAUGUCAUAUGUGACAAGCUUCUGGAAAGGGUUUUAAGUCAUAGAUUUAUUUUUAUUUUUUUUUUGCAAAACUUAAAGUCAUAGUUUUUUAGUGUUCAAGUUUUUAGUGAAGAGACUCAUUCCAUUUUUUUAUAUAUAUCUGUCAACAAUUUGUGGAUGGAGAUGAAUUCGUGAUGCAUGUGUUAGCUUGUUUUGAUUUGGAUAU